rnacentral:misc_RNA from 1 species
AUGAAGAACGUAGCGAAAUGCGAUACGUAAUGUGAAUUGCAGAAUUCAGUGAAUCAUCGAAUCUUUGAACGCAUAUUGCGCUCUCUGGUAUUCCGGAGAGCAUGCUUGUUUGAGUAUCAGUAAACACCUCAACUUCCAUAUCUUUUUUGAAAUGGGAGUUGGACUUGAGUGAUCCCAACGCUUUUCCUCACCGAAAAGUGGCGGGUUACUUGAAAUGCAGGUGCAGCUGGACUUUUCUCUGAGCUAUAAGCAUAUCUAUUUAGUCUGCCUAAAAAACAGAUUAUUACCUUUGCUGCAGCUAACAUAAAGGAGAUUAGUUCUUGUGCUGACUGAUGCAGGAUUCACAAAGACAGCUUCGGCCGACUUUGUAAACUCGAUCUCAAAUCAAGUAAGACUACCCGCUGAACUUAAGCAUAUCAAUAAGCGGAGGA